AACAGUACCCCUUUUGCAGGAGGGGGGGAUUCAAGCAGAGUAUGGAAAAGAGACACCAGGCCAGCCCUUGAUUAGAAGGAAAGGUGAAGAAGCAUGGCUCUAGGAAGAGUGAAGGAAUCAUGUCUCUCGCAUCAGACCCCAGGGCAGUAUCUCCAUGUUCUGUGGCAAGGAUUGAGCUAAAAAAGGAGCAAGGACACUGAAUGGAGUGGCUCCCUGACUGGUGACUGAUGAGAUGGAUCAGUUUAGUGAGAGAUGGAGGUGGGGACAGCUUCCUCCCUGAUCUUCACCCACGGCAGGAAG
ensembl:lncRNA